rnacentral:rRNA from 1 species
UAGUGGCAGACGGGUGAGUAAUGUAUAGGAAUCUACCUAGUAGUACGGAAUAAUUGUUGGAAACGGCAACUAAUACCGUAUACGCCCUACGGGGGAAAAAUUUAUUGCUAUUAGAUGAGCCUAUAUUAGAUUAGCUAGUUGGUGGAGUAAUAGCCUACCAAGGCAAUGAUCUAUAGCUGAUCUGAGAGGAUGAUCAGCCACACUGGAACUGAGAUACGGUCCAGACUCCUACGGGAGGCAGCAGUGGGGAAUAUUGGACAAUGGGCGAAAGCCUGAUCCAGCCAUGCCGCAUGAGUGAAGAAGGCCUUUGGGUUGUAAAGCUCUUUUAGUGAGGAAGAUAAUGACGGUACUCACAGAAGAAGUCCUGGCUAACUCCGUGCCAGCAGCCGCGGUAAUACGGAGAGGGCUAGCGUUAUUCGGAAUUAUUGGGCGUAAAGGGCGCGUAGGCUGGUUAAUAAGUUAAAAGUGAAAUCCCGAGGCUUAACCUUGGAAUUGCUUUUAAAACUAUUAACCUAGAGAUUGAAAGAGGAUAGAGGAAUUCCUGAUGUAGAGGUAAAAUUCGUAAAUAUUAGGAGGAACACCAGUGGCGAAGGCGUCUAUCUGGUUCAAAUCUGACGCUGAAGCGCGAAGGCGUGGGGAGCAAACAGGAUUAGAUACCCUGGUAGUCCACGCUGUAAACGAUGAAUGUUAAAUAUGGGAAGUUUACUUUCUGUAUUACAGCUAACGCGUUAAACAUUCCGCCUGGGGACUACGGUCGCAAGAUUAAAACUCAAAGGAAUUGACGGGGACCCGCACAAGCGGUGGAGCAUGUGGUUUAAUUCGAUGCAACGCGAAAAACCUUACCACUUCUUG